GUCAAAAUGAGAGUACCCCUAAACAUUUUUUUAAGAAAAAAAGCACUGAUUGCAGGGUCCAGGUUGGUUCAAAUGCAGAGAGGCAGUCUUUGAGUACAGCAGUUUCAAAUAGGAAGUCAAAAUAUGAAGAAAACAUUUAUGUUGGAACUAGUGUUUUUUUCCCUUAAAAAAAUGUUUAGGGGUACUCUCAUUUUGAC